CAGUCGCCGCGGGAAUACGUAGGUCCCGAGCGUUGUCUGGAUUUAUUGGGCGUAAAGCGAGCGCAGGCGGUUAGAUAAGUCUGAAGUUAAAGGCUGUGGCUUAACCAUAGUACGCUUUGGAAACUGUUUAACUUGAGUGCAAGAGGGGAGAGUGGAAUUCCAUGUGUAGCGGUGAAAUGCGUAGAUAUAUGGAGGAACACCGGUGGCGAAAGCGGCUCUCUGGCUUGUAACUGACGCUGAGGCUCGAAAGCGUGGGGAGCAAACAGGAUUAGAUACCCCAGUAGUCCCUGUCUCUUAUACA
rnacentral:rRNA from 1 species